UAUGAAGGGGGCUAGCGUUGCUCGGAAUUACUGGGCGUAAAGCGCACGUAGGCGGCUUUCUAAGUCGGGGGUGAAAUCCUGGAGCUCAACUCCAGAACUGCCUUCGAUACUGGAGAGCUCGAGUUCGGGAGAGGUGAGUGGAACUGCGAGUGUAGAGGUGAAAUUCGUAGAUAUUCGCAAGAACACCAGUGGCGAAGGCGGCUCACUGGCCCGAUACUGACGCUGAGGCACGAAAGCGUGGGGAGCAAACAGG
rnacentral:rRNA from 1 species